rnacentral:rRNA from 1 species
ACACGUAGGGGCCUGACGUUGUUCGGAAUCAUUGGGCGUAAAGGGCGCGCAGGCGGCCGUCCAAGUCCGGUGUUAAAUGGUCGGGCUCAACCCGAUCAUGCGCUGGAAACUGGGCGGCUUGAGUCCCGUAGGGGAUGCCGGAAUUCCAGGUGCAGGGGUGAAAUCUGUAGAUAUCUGGAAGAACACCGAUGGCGAAGGCAGGCAUCUGGCCGGAGACUGACGCUGAGGCGCGAAGGCGCGGGGAGCGAACAGGUUUAGAUACCCUGGUAGUCCGCGCAGUAAACGAUGCGCACCAGGUGUCGGGCGGCAGCGCCCGGUACCGGAGCUAACGCGAUGAGUGCGCCGCCUGGGGAGUAUGCCCGCAAGGGUGAAACUCAAAUGAAUUGACGGGG